rnacentral:lncRNA from 1 species
CAACCUGCUGCUCCUCCAUCCACAUAGCCUAUUGUUGCCCCAUCCACAUAGCGUAUUUUUGCCUCCUCUGUGCAUAGUGUUAUAGAGGAUCAAUUGAUCUUCAUCGAGAGUGCAGCGCUACUAGUCCCAUAAAACAUGUAGCCACAAAGAAGAAUAAAGUCCCUUUUAUUUCACCUGAUGAUAAUGGUGCUUUUAGUUCUAACAGUUCUAUAUAUUUGUUUAGUUUUUGCUAACAAGUGCAUAAACCAUUUUAGGUUGGAAAGGAGGUCAUAUUAUAUAACUUGUUGAGGCCACAACCUGUGGCUAAGGCAAUAGUUAUUUCAACAAAUCCAAAGAAUGUAUUAGAAGGCCAACCUCUUCGAAGGCUAUUUUAUGAAGUCGUUAUGAAGGUUGUCAUUAAAAAGGAUACAAUACUACCUCGCCCUUAUGGUGACAUGGAGACUAUGGGUGAUGCUAUAUCAAUGUCAGUUCAGUGGCCAUACAAUAGAGUAUUAUACUAUACUUGCCUUUGUUUCUUUUAUUCAUAUAUGUGAUAAAUGAAGGAAGUUUCUAAUUAAUGAUAUUUGUAAUAGUUGAGGGUCAGCAAGGCAUCACAUUCACCCAAGUCUACUGUAGGUAUGUAUUUUUCUGAAUUUUACUUUCACCAAGCUGCAACCUAUGAUGCUGAACACACCCUGCUAUGUAUACAACACACAAGCGAAAGAAUUUGAUAGUACUGGUUCUUAUUCAUUGCCUACUUAAUGAUGAAGUGAAUUGGAUCACUAUUUCUGGAAGUAAUGAUGAAGUGAAUUGGAUCACUAUUUCUGGAAGUGAAAAUGUAGAAGAACCUGUUAGGAUGGUUGCAACUUAUUAACUCAUACAUGCUAGCAAUUAUGAUGGUGGUAACUAAAGUAGUAUUGCGACAUAGUGAAAAAGAUGAAUCAAGUAUAAAGAAAAAAUAUUAACAAAUGUGACAAUUCACUUGCCCAAUGACCAUAGAUCUUGACGUAGCAUGUCUGCAACAUGAAUUUUAUCCAUAAGAAAUGGUUGUAACUAAUUAGAUAAUAUGGUUAUCUCUGAAGUAAUAUCAAUAACCAUAUGACAGAAUCUUAUGUGAAAAACAUGAGAAUCACAUGUUUUCUAAAAAUCUGACAACCCAUCAAUAUAUUUUUGAGAUAUUAAUAUAUGCUUUAGUCUUGGAAUUUGUAUAUAUAGCCUAGAAUAGAAGAAAAUAAUCUAUUCUGAUACAAAACCUUGGCAUUUUAGCAUGUUCCAUUGUAGUUGAGACCACAUACUAGUAGUUGGAGCUGAAAAUAUGUUUUGGUUUUUUAGGUGGAAGGCGCUAGCUGUAACAUGAUUAUUCUGUGUCGACAAGCAGAUCAGACAUUUUGUGAGAUGGAGACAAAACAUUGAUGGAUGCUAGUUGCUUUGGAUGACAUAACAUUUUGUAAAGAACUGCUUGGCGAUGGAUGUAGUUGCUUUUGAUUAUGUAACUUUUUGUAGAGAACUCCUUGGGUAUGUUAUCUGUGUAGUGUGCAAGCUAGACUUGUGUGAUUUGAAGAACAUUAUAUUGUAGCGAGCAUGAAUGUUACAUAUACCGAUUGGCAUGAAUGAAAUCGAAGCUAUGUCAUCGUGACUUGAUUUUAUAUGAUAUUGAAUGUGAGCUUGUAUGUUUAAUGUCUAAAAUAAUUAUAUGAUUUGGUUGAUAUAAGAUUAUUAAUGUAUUUUGAUGUGAUCUUUGGGUUGGAUGGUUGGUUGGUACAAAUACCAUUAGCCAUAAACUGUUGGACGGUAAAAGUACUACAUUCCAUCAACUUGUUGGUCGGUAUUUCUUCAACAUUUCGUUAGACUUUCGGUCGCUAAAAGUAUAUCGGUCGCUAUAAACUGUCCCGACACCACUUGCAGCGGCUGCAUAUAAGUGUCGGCAUAGAUCUAUACUGACCAAUCCCUAUCCCGAUCGAGGGGACAUUGCUAUUCUAGGGCUAUGGUGUAGUGAAUAUAUUAUACCACCAAAAGUUAAACUUGAGCUACCUCCAUCAUAAGUAAAACACUAGCAAAACGACCUUAAUAGAUAACGACAAGAGGAUCCUAAACUGUCAGCAUGAUUUGAUCUUUUUUGCAUCAUGGCAUGACCUUAAUCUAUAAACUGUAGCAGACAGUCCGAGGUAUUGUAGCGGACUGUCUGAGGUACUGUAGCGUACAGUCUGCCACCUCUAGUUUUGUGCAGUUCGAUCCGUUUCUUUGAGAGCUUGUUUCCAUUGGUGCUUGAGUACUUUUGGGUGGGCCUAAGGCUUCACGUGUGGUACCUUGCUACUAGUUAGUACGUGUAUCUCACGUCUUUGGUGAGUGUUCAUUUUAGAUUGUUUACGAGCCAAGGAUAAAAAGUUUUAAAAGAAUUUUGAAGUUUCCAUUCACACCCCCUCUGGCAUCGCUAUUUUGCGGUCCUUCAACGAUAAAUUAAACCUGAAACUGAAGGAAUAUUCACAUAAUGCACAAGGAAUUCCUAGGUGAGUUAGCUCUCACAUCCCAGGCAAACACGCAUGCGUGCGCACAAUCACCUCGUCUUGCAAAAUCUUCUUUUUAGAGGAACUAACGACUAGUCUUGCAUAUUGAUUGAUGUGCUGCACUAGAAACCAACCACUACUAGAAAAGGACAGAGAGAAGGGAGCAAGAAGAGCACGCACCAUAUGUGCGUAGGAACCCUGCAACAGCGAUGAGGACGGCGACCGCCUGCCUAGCGGAGGGUGCGUGCGAGGCCGACGAGGAUGCAGGAGAAGCGGAGUUAGAAGUGGAUGAUGACGCCAUGGGUGUAGGGCGCGCAGUCUUGGCUGACAACCUCCAUGGCCUGAGAAAACAAACAAAUUAAAAUCCAGGGAUGGAGGAGGUAGCAGAGGAUGGAAAGAAUGGCGAGCUUACUUGCGGGAGCAGGGGGGAGAGAGAGAGGACCGAGAAGGACAACUAACGUCAAGAGCAGAGUAGUAGCCUGACGUGG